rnacentral:rRNA from 1 species
AUACGGAGGGUGCUAGCGUUGUUCGGAAUUACUGGGCGUAAAGGGCGCGUAGGCGGCUCUGCGAGUCGGGCGUGAAAUCCCGGGGCUCAACCCCGGAACGGCGCUCGAUACUGCGGGGCUGGAGACCGGAAGAGGAGGGUGGAAUUCCCAGUGUAGAGGUGAAAUUCGUAGAUAUUGGGAGGAACACCGGUGGCGAAAGCGGCUCUCUGGUCCGGUUCUGACGCUGAGGCGCGAAAGCGUGGGGAGCAAACAGGAUUAGAAACCCCAGUAGUCC